rnacentral:rRNA from 1 species
GUAGGGGGCUAGCGUUGUCCGGAUUUAUUGGGCGUAAAGAGCGUGUAGGCGGCUUGGCAAGUCUGCUGUGAAAACUCGAGGCUCAACCUCGAGCUGUCGGUGGAAACUGCUUGGCUAGAGUCCGGAAGAGGAGAGUGGAAUUCCUGGUGUAGCGGUGAAAUGCGCAGAUAUCAGGAAGAACACCUAUGGCGAAGGCAGCUCUCUGGGACGGUACUGACGCUGAGACGCGAAAGCGUGGGGAGCGAACAGGAUUAGAUACCCUGGUAGUCCACGCCGUAAACGAUGGGUGCUAGGUGUGGGGGGUGUCGACUCCCUCCGUGCCGAAGCUAACGCAUUAAGCACCCCGCCUGGGGAGUACGGCCGCAA